rnacentral:rRNA from 3 species
GCGAGUGAAGCGGCAAUAGCUCAAAUUUGAAAUCUGGCGUCUUCGGCGUCCGAGUUGUAAUUUGAAGAAGGUAUCUUUGGUUUUGGCUCUUGUCUAUGUUCCUUGGAACAGGACGUCACAGAGGGUGAGAAUCCCGUGCGAUGAGAUGCCCAAUUCCAUGUAAAGUUCCUUCGACGAGUCGAGUUGUUUGGGAAUGCAGCUCUAAGUGGGUGGUAAAUUCCAUCUAAAGCUAAAUAUUGGCGAGAGACCGAUAGCGAACAAGUACUGUGAAGGAAAGAUGAAAAGAACUUUGAAAAGAGAGUGAAAAAGUACGUGAAAUUGUUGAAAGGGAAGGGCUUGAGGUCAGACUUGGUUUUACCAGGCCAGCAUCAGUUUGGGUGGCAGGAUAAGUGCGUAGGAAAGUGGCUCCACUUCGGUGGUGUGUUAUAGCCUGCGUCGAUACUGCCUGCCCAGACUGAGGACUGCGUCUUUGACUAGGAUGCUGGCAUAAUGACCUUAAGCCGCCC